rnacentral:rRNA from 1 species
AUGUCCCGGCUUAACUAUGAGAUCAUCUCCCUGAUCCCCAAGGUGCUGGGAGCCGCUGACAUUCGGCAGUUCCGUCCUAUCACAGUCCUCAAUGUGUUAUUUCGGAUUUUGGCCAAGGGGUAUGCCACUAGGGCGGCCCUAAUCGCCCCCCGGAUCCAUCACCCGAACCAGUCAGCCUUCACGAAAGGCCGGUAUAUUCUGGAUGGGAUCCUUGUUCUCCAGGAGGUCAUCCAUGAAGUCAAGAGCAAGCAUCUUUGCGCUUUGUUCUUCAAGAUUGACUUCCAUAAAGCAUACGACAUUGUCCAUUGGUCCUUCCUUCGGGAGGUGUUGCUAAAGCGUGGGUUCACUCUCAUUGAGUAA